rnacentral:rRNA from 1 species
GUAGGGGGCGAGCGUUGUCCGGGAUUUAUUGGGGCGCAAAGAGCUCGUAGGCGGUUGCGUAAGUCGGGAUGCGAAAAACUCAGGGGCUCAACCCUGAGAUGCCAUUCGAUACUGCGCUGACUCGAGUCCGGUAGGGGAGCAUGGAAUUCCUGGUGUAGCGGUGAAAUGCGCAGAUAUCAGGAGGAACACCAGUGGCGAAGGCGGUGCUCUGGGCCGGUACUGACGCUGAGGAGCGAAAGCAUGGGUAGCAAACAGGAUUAGAUACCCUGGUAGUCCAUGCCGUAAACGUUGGGCACUAGGUGUGGGGCCUACUUAACGGGUUCCGUGCCGUAGCUAACGCAUUAAGUGCCCCGCCUGGGGAGUACGGCCGCAAAGGCUA